rnacentral:misc_RNA from 1 species
GAUGAAGAACGCAGCGAAAUGCGAUAAGUAAUGCGAAUUGCAGAAUUCCAGUGAAUCAUCGAAUCUUUGAACGCACAUUGCGCCCGCCAGUAUUCUGGCGGGCAUGCCUGUUCGAGCGUCAUUACAACCCUCAGGCCCCCGGGCCUGGCGUUGGGGAUCGGCGGAAGCCCCCUGCGGGCACAACGCCGUCCCCCAAAUACAGUGGCGGUCCCGCCGCAGCUUCCAUUGCGUAGUAGCUAACACCUCGCAACUGGAGAGCGGCGCGGCCACGCCGUAAAACACCCAACUUCUGAAUGUUGACCUCGAAUCAGGUAGGAAUACCCGCUGAACUUAAGCAUAUCAAUAAGCGGAGGA